AUGUGCUGGCGUUUCCAUAGCAAGACAGCGGCUUCCGAUGGAAGAAUAGAUGAUGACCCUGUGUGGGUGUAUGCUGACUCAGACUUCUCAUCAGGGAUCCCAGACUGGAUCUCAAAUUGCCGCCUGCCUUCUGUUCUUGCUCGUCCAGCACUUUGUGGAGCUCAAGUCUAAAGUCCUGAAUGAGAACUGAUAAUGAAUAUCUGACCCCAGUAAGAACAAAGCAUUUCCAGAAACAAGACCGUAACCUGCAGAUUUGUCCACCAGCCAGAGCCAACUCCUUUCAUCAAGACUCAGGCCUUCACCAGGACUGAUGGCACACCUGUAAUCCCAGCAACUGAGAGAGCUCAGCCAGUGUGGAUGUUCUAACCAGUCUCGGAUUAUCUAACAGCAGUGAGGCACCCCUGAGUUCCCUUCCAGACUGAAGACACAAGAGAUACAAGAAAGGGAGGCACAUGACAGUUCCAGAUGUCCAGAGAAGCAGUGGAUAAUGCUCUAAGACCUCAGUCAUCUUGUGAUCCAAGACCAGCACAGUCGUGCAAACAGACCAACCCAUGCACUCCCUCCCUGCCCUAAGCUUUCAAGUUUUAAACUGGCAUACACUAAUUCCAAUAGUUUUGUUGUAAUAAAAGCAGUCCCCCCAUUACCCUUUCUUGUCCCCUUCCCACUUCUGCUGAUCACUGGCUCUUCUCAACUCAGUCCCUUCUUUCAUGUGUCCCAUCCCCCCAGUCUAAUGACAUUAGAGUUGCUUACAGGAAUAUGGACAACUUCCCAGUGGCUACACCUCUGGAUAAAAAGAAAGCUUUUUAACAAUCGUUUACUGUCUACGACCUUCAGGGAGGCGCAGGACCUUGUGAACUCUUCAUAUUUUGAAAUAUACAUGUAAAAGAUCAAUCCUAUAUAUUAAAGGUUGAUAGUCUUAA